CGAACCGGUACGUGCCUGUCCUCCCCAAAAAGAAAAAAAAGCCUCUGAUCCAACCCCCACCCCGUAGCCUCCCGAUCCACCUCCACCUUCCACCUCCAGGCGCCGUCUCCGUGACCCGCCGUCGCGCGCCACCCCACAACCCGCCGCUGCGCGCCACCCGCAACUCGCCGCCGCGCGCCACCCCGCAACCCCCUCCCCCGGCGCUGGCCAACGCCCAGCACCGUCUCCCUGGCGACGGCCUCCGACCGCCCCCGUCCCCCCCUGGCGACGGCCGCAGUUUACCCCCUGUCCUCCCCUAGCGCCGGCCGCAGUCCAGCCCCCGUCCUCCCCUAGCGCGGGCCGCCACCCGUCGCAUCCACACAUGGCGCCAGCCGCCCCAUCUUCCCCUGGCGUUGGCCACCGCCAGAUUUUUUCCUGUGUUGCUACAUCACUCGGGCGACAAGGAGGCGACAGUGACGACUCCAACAGAUUUUUUCUGUGUUUCUACAUCGCCGGUCCAAAUUGUGGAGAAGACACAGUCCUAGGUGUGUGGCGGCUGUGUGUGUGCAUGCUAAUUGGCGGCUGUGUGUGUGCAGGGUACAUCAAAGUCGGCAGCCAGUGUACUAGGGAGUAGUGAGAUGGAGGCAUGAAACAGUGGAGCAGACCUAGCUAGUGUGAGCAUCAAAAUACAAAGCAUAGUACAUCAGGAAAAAGCCAUCGCCGCCUCCUUUCAGCGUGCCGGCCCCGCCUCCCCACACAUGGCUUGCGAAGAGUCGGCGGUGCCGCUGAAGACGACGGAGCAGUUCUACUUCUCCGUGAUGACCAGGACGAAGUCGCUAUCUGUGCUUGGCCAUAGGGUCCACUGGGUUCCGUUCAUGAGAGAAGCAUCGCCGGCUGGGAGAGUUCAAUGAUCUGAACUAGGAAAGUUCAAUGUAGAAAUUUGCUACAGAUUACAUUACUUGAGAAUUUUUCGUGUGAUUCACGUCAUCGUUGGCCCCAUGUUCGCUGGCAAGACCACCGCGCUUCUCCGCCGGCACCGGCAGGGUACAUCCAACGACAACGAGUAGGCAACAAGUGUACUGGUGAGCAGCGGGACAGUAGCAUGAAGCACAUAAGAACUCGGCGUGCGUGGUCGUCAAUGAGCUCUCCUACAUAGUGGUCGCCCAUGAAAAAAAGGCUCAUGUCUAGCUACAUGGAGAGUUUCAAAAAUCAGAAUUGAGAAAGUGCAAACCGCCAAGAAAGUUCUUUAACAGUAAAGAAAGUCUGUGUGUUUAUAUAUUUGUGAUUUGUGCUAUGUGAGAGUUCAUAUUGUAAGAUUAUGGUGUUUGUUUUAAAGUUCAAAUUAUUAAAAGCCGUGAGGUUCACACACUGCCACAGUGGAAGUUUGUGAAUUUGGUAUAUAAAAAAGGAAAGUGUUCAUAUUAUAUGGUUAUAGUGUUUGUUCUGAAGUUCAAAUUGUUAAAGCCAUGAGGUUCACACUGUCUUUGUAAUAUUUUUUACUUUGGUAACAUAAGAUAGAAAAAGGAUUGUAGUGUUCGUUUAUAAGUUCAUAUUGUUAAAACAGCGAGGUUCAAACUGUUUCCUGAGAGAUGUACUCUCUAUGCAUUGAUAUGUUAAAG
rnacentral:rRNA from 1 species